rnacentral:rRNA from 1 species
AUUGAACGCUGGCGGCAGGCCUAACACAUGCAAGUCGAGCGGCAGCACAAGGGAGUUUACUCCUGAGGUGGCGAGCGGCGGACGGGUGAGUAAUGCCUAGGGAUCUGCCCAAUCGAGGGGGAUAACAGUUGGAAACGACUGCUAAUACCGCAUACGCCCUACGGGGGAAAGGAGGGGACCUGCGGGCCUUCCGCGAUUGGAUGAACCUAGGUGGGAUUAGCUAGUUGGUGAGGUAAUGGCUCACCAAGGCGACGAUCCCUAGCUGUUCUGAGAGGAUGAUCAGCCACACUGGGACUGAGACACGGCCCAGACUCCUACGGGAGGCAGCAGUGGGGAAUAUUGCACAAUGGGGGAAACCCUGAUGCAGCCAUGCCGCGUGUGUGAAGAAGGCCUUCGGGUUGUAAAGCACUUUCAGUAGGGAGGAAAGGGUGAGUCUUAAUAUGGCUCAUCUGUGACGUUACCUACAGAAGAAGGACCGGCUAACUCCGUGCCAGCCGCCGCGGUAAUAC